AUGGCGGCGUCCGUGGCCACCUCCCCGGCCUGCACCCGGCUCAUCCCCAGCAGCCCCCUCUCCGCCUCGGCUUACACGGCCGCGCCGUCCCUCGUUCGCCUGGCGGGGUCCUCCAGGCGCCUCCGCCGGGCCCUGCGCGUCUCGGCCGCGGCGGAGCCGGCCGACGCGCUGCCGGGGCCCGGGGCCGGCGAUCUGGACGGGGUGGUGCCGGCGGGGCUGCUCGAGGAGCUGCCGGAGGGCCUCGCCUUCCAGGGCGACGUGGGCGGGGGGUUCGCCCCCGGCGGCGGCGGCGACGACGGCAACAAGAUGCUCGACCGCGGCAUCAACGCCGCCAUCGUGCUCGGCGCCAGCACCUACGCGCUCACCAAGCUCCUCACCGUCGACCAGGACUACUGGCAUGGGUGGACUAUCUUUGAGAUCCUGCGGUACAUGCCGGAGCACAACUGGUCGGCGUACGAGGAGGCCCUCAAGGCCAACCCGGUUCUUGCCAAGAUGAUGAUCAGUGGCGUCGUCUAUUCCCUCGGCGACUGGAUAGCCCAGUGUUACGAAGGGAAGCCCAUCUUCGAGUUUGACCGCACUCGUAUGUUCAGGUCUGGCCUCGUAGGGUUCACCCUCCAUGGAUCCCUUUCGCACUACUACUACCAUUUCUGCGAGUCGUUGUUCCCGUUCAAGGAUUGGUGGGCUGUGCCUGUCAAGGUUGCGUUUGAUCAGACGGCUUGGUCUGCGCUGUGGAACAGCAUCUACUUCGUCGCCCUGGGCUUCCUUCGCUGGGAAUCUCCGUCCACCAUAUACAAAGAGCUCAAGGCCACCUUCUUCCCCAUGCUUACUGCUGGGUGGAAACUGUGGCCAUUUGCACACUUAAUCACAUACGGUGUGGUUCCUAUCGAACAAAGACUUCUCUGGGUCGACUGUGUCGAAUUAAUCUGGGUCACUAUCUUGUCAACUUACUCGAACGAGAAAUCUGAAGCAAGGAUCUUAGACGAUUCCUCCACAACAGACACGCAGGUAUAUUGCAUCAGAACUACUCCUAAACAUAUGAAGAAAUCAGUUGAGCCUUGUCAUCUCUGUCGUCGUACUGACAGCUGGAAUUAUCUUUCUUCUUUGCAGGACAACAACUUCAGAUAG
rnacentral:rRNA from 1 species